GGCAAUGAGGGCAAUCUAGAUGUGACAUCGGACACUCCAUUGAUCGCAGGGUUGAUUUGGCUUAUCUGGCUGAUUAGGCAGGUGUCCCCUUCCUCCUUCAAUGCUCCUUGUGCAUUCCUCCCUAAGCUGCAUGCUCAGUGGAAAAAGACUACCACACCUGAUAGAGGAGGACCAUUCCUCUGUCAAUGGUAUACCAGUAGCUGUGCUCCUCUCUAGAAGCUCCAAACAAGUUCUUAGAAAGCCCUUUCUACUGACAUGAUAGUUCUCAUGCCAGCUUUUUGUUGUAUGGAUAUUAGUUGGAAAGACAUCUACACAUGGCAUUGUUUUUUACAUUUUUUAUGGUAAAAUCUGGUUGAUUUGAAAAUCUGCCCUAUGGU
rnacentral:snRNA from 1 species